rnacentral:rRNA from 1 species
AAUGAACGCUGGCGGCAGGCCUAAAACAUGCAAGUCGAACGCCCCGCAAGGGGAGUGGCAGACGGGUGAGUAACACGUGGGAACCUUCCCAACAGUACGGAAUAGCCCAGGGAAACUUGGAGUAAUACCGUAUAUUCCCGAGAGGGGAAAGAUUUAUCGCUGUUGGAUGGGCCCGCGUCGGAUUAGCUAGUUGGUGAGGUAACGGCUCACCAAGGCGACGAUCCGUAGCUGGUUUGAGAGAAUGACCAGCCACACUGGGACUGAGACACGGCCCAGACUCCUACGGGAGGCAGCAGUGGGGAAUCUUGGACAAUGGGCGCAAGCCUGAUCCAGCCAUGCCGCGUGAGUGACGAAGGCCUUAGGGUUGUAAAGCUCUUUUGCCGGGGACGAUAAUGACGGUACCCGGAGAAUAAGUCCCGGCUAACUUCGUGCCAGCCGCCGCGGUAAAAC